rnacentral:tRNA from 1 species
GUGUUGUGGCUCAGUGGUUGAGUGCUUGCCUCCCAUGCUUGAGCUACUGGGUUCACUCCUCAGCACACA